rnacentral:rRNA from 1 species
UGGCAGACGGGUGAGUAAUGCGUAGGAAUCUACCUAGUAGUAUGGAAUAGCCAUUAGAAAUGAUGGGUAAUACUGUAUAAUCCCUGCGGGGGAAAGAUUUAUCGCUAUUAGAUGAGCCUACGUUAGAUUAGCUAGUUGGUAAGGUAAUGGCUUACCAAGGCUAUGAUCUAUAGCUGGUCUGAGAGGACGAUCAGCCACACUGGAACUGAGAUACGGUCCAGACUCCUACGGGAGGCAGCAGUGGGGAAUAUUGGACAAUGGGCGAAAGCCUGAUCCAGCUAUGCCGCGUGAGUGAAGAAGGCCUUCGGGUUGUAAAACUCUUUCAAUAGGG